AAAGUACAUCUCCUAUUACGCUACGCAUAGGAUCUGAGAACGACCUAUUCAUAGCCUCGUUCUGACGACCCUUUCGCUAGCCAAUCAGAAUUUAACUUACAAAAUUUAGCAAAUUACCUGUAGCCUUGUCUUUUGAUAUUUACAAUUCUUAUGUCGGAUUAUGUCAGAUAGCCGGUUAGCUCAGUCGGUAGGCCACUUGCUUAGUAAUCGAGGGGUCCCGAGUUCGAGCCCUGGAAUAACUGCACAUUUUUCUUACUCUUUGACAUUCUAACAAGUCGUCUCAUUGGUUAAAAUAAAAAUAGCAAUGCUGGAAAUCCAAAAUAUACAGAAGACGUAUGUGAAUGGGUCGUUCUCAGAUCUUCGUUUAGAAGAUCAAGUACUUCAGUCAGAUUGGAACGCAAGGAACAAGUUCAGUUCAAAGGUUCGUGGCUGUAUUUAGAUGAUACCGGGAGAAAUCCAGAUGAAAAUGAGUAAUUUGUGUGAAAGUUUUAAGGUUCGAGUCAUAGAAAGGUUCUGAGCAAAGGUACGGGUAAUACGCGAGCUUCAUCAGCUUAACACUGCACACAUCAACAAACGAGGGCAAAUGCAUGGAAAACGUUGUCAUUUUGUAUGAAUCUACGUUACUCUUGGAUAGAGCAUAUAGGUAUAAGCGGUUGUGCCUUAUCAGAAAAGGUGUAAACCGUCGUGAGAAAAGGUGGAUUGUUACGCUUUAAUUUGUUUGUUGUAUGAAUUAUUGCUUGGGCUUUGUAUCGUUUCCUGCUAAAAAAAAUACAAAAAAAAAAGAAUAGUUCAAUAACCAAAUUCCAUAGUCUAUUUAUGGAGCUCAAAUAGCAAUUAUAUAAAGGUGAAUCUUAAGCGCCGAUUGAAGAAACUGAAUUAUUAUUACAAAGUGUAAUAAUGUAUAUUCUUGACCUCUUCUUUCCGCUAAGUAUCAGAGAAAUAACCAUUGAUAACUACGUGGCACUGUAUUCUUGAAAAAAAUAACUGUCUUACACAGAAAAGAAGAGAAAAAGUUAUCAUGCCUACAUUCUAGAAGCGUCACAAUCUUGAAAUACAUUAGACACAUACUCAACAAAACUAGUAACUUGUAUAUUUCUUUGCAUUUUUGCUUAAUGACAGAUUUGUAAAAUGUUGACAUGUUGUUAAUGUUUUUAAAUGAUGUAAUGUAAUGUACUAUUAAGGCGAAGUAUUUUUUCGGUGGGUAAAUUAAAUUAAGAAUACUUACAUUAGUUUAAAUUGCAAUAUAUGGAUUUGAAUUAUUUAAGAAUUAUCCCCCUUUUGAUUGAUAAUAUAGGUAAACACUUUUUGUCUGGUGAUUGUAGGUAAAAAAUGAAACAGUUCAAAAUGAUAUGUAAUUUCCUGUGGUAUUCCUGUUAUUACUUGCCUUUUGUUUAUUAUUUUACAUGCAUAUAAAUUAUUAAUUUACAAACUGAUUCUUCUCUAGGAACACAAUAUUGAUAGGAUUAAUAAUUAUUGCUCGUUAACAUUAUGUCCAUUAUACCUAAUCUUCAUUAGUUACUUCUUCUGGUCAGUAUACAUUAUCACUAUGAAACCAUCACUAUAUCAUCACAUGACUGUUAAUAAAUACUAAUUAAUCCAUGUCAAUAAAGUCAAUUUAAUUCAUCACUUAAACAUCUUCCAAAUAUCUGCAUUGUACUCUUAGGUACACAUACCAAGUCAUCACUUUUCUAACAGUCAUGGACUGAAAUACAAAUGUAAUAAUAAGUAUCAUGACUAUUUGCCAUAAAGAUUACAAUACCUUAACAUUUAUGACCAUGAGAAAACCAACAUAGUGCAUUUGUGACCAGCCUGAUGGAUCUAGCACAGCCUGCGCAUCCGCGCAGUCUUGUCAGGAUCCAUGCUGUUCGCUUUCAAAGCCUAUUUCAAUUAGAGAAACCGUUAGCGCACAGCAUCGAUCCUGACAAGACUGCGCGGAUGCGCAGGCUGGGCUAGAUCCAUCAAGCUGGUCGCAAAUGCACUAUGUUGGUUUUCUCUUGGCGCGGCUAAAUAUGAUGAAUCAUACAUAUUCAUCAAAGAGCAUAAUACUUACAACAAUCAUGUAUAUAACACUUAAUAUAACUUACGUCAGUACUGUAUGAUUAUCAAUACUUGUGUUAUUAACAGUUCACUAGUAAAACACACUUUACACAUAAAUGACUCUAUUCUACACAUCUAUUAUUCUUUACAUAAAAUACAUGUAUAUGACAUUCAGUAAUUACCUUGUGUGUGAAGCUAAUCUCCUGAACAUAACAACCAUUGGUCUAGUUCUGUUCAUUCUACCACUUUAAAACCAAAACCAUGAGGCGACAUGCAAUUUGUAUAGAAUAAAUGGCAGUUGGUAGACCAUCGCUGAAAUUCGUGUGAUAAUCUCAAUACAAGAAGGAUUUCUGUAAUAGCAAACCGUUAUAAAUCAUACUAAAUCAACACUUCUUUCCUUUAGUUCUUUCAUAUUUUAGAUAGGUUCAAUGUUUUUACAUUUGCCAGUUAUAGUCUCUUUUCAGAUUUGUGUUAAAUCAUUUCCAUUCAUAGUUACGAUAUGGUUCGCUUCUCUUACUGCCGCAUAUGCAACAGGUAGUAUUUUACAGAAUGAAAAUCCGUUGCCUGAAAAUAAAUGUAAUAAAAUAAACUUAUUAUUAGACUAGUAGAUAUCUAGGCAUUUAAGUAUCUAAAUCUCUGCUGAACGAGUACAAUUUUAUACUGUUCUCUCCAACAAUGUCUAGAUUAAAAAAUACUCUGAAGUUUUUUAGUACGCAGUUAGGUACAUAUGUUUAUGUUAAGAAAACACAUCAAGAUAUAUAUAUAAUAGUUCAAUUGUUUAAUAAAUAGUUAUUCAUAUAUUUGCUUAUGCUCAAAUGAUGGUAUCUAUGUUAUUUAUUUAGUUGAAAACUUGUGGUUUAUAAAGACAGGGAAGAGGGUAUUAAUUCAAGCUUUUUAAUUACCGGAUGUGAUAUACAAGACACAAAGCUCAACUUCAUUUUACAUUUUAUUCUAUCCUACAGUCAUGUUGUAACAAAUAUAUAGCAGUCGAAUAAGUAUACAUAUUUCUUUCUACCAGACUGGGCACCAUUCUGCAGAUCUUUUAACACGAAAAAAAAAAACUGCAAUAUUUCUACGUUAUUACCAUUGCUUCGUUUUGAAUAUGUCAGUCAUUGCACAUUAUAGUUUUUACAUACACUUGUCAGUCAACACCCUUGCCUAACAAUGCUAAAUACUAAAAACAGAUAUUGUUGCAGUAAGAUAUUUCAGAUCUUAAUUACCAGAACUAGAAUACCGUGGAAAUGGAAUUCUGCAUAAUGAUCGGAAAACUUCACUUUUCACGUUUUGCCUGGAUACCCUUAAUAUUCAAGCAUUACUCUUUUGAAAUUUCAUAAAUAAUUAAAAUUUAUGACAUGCCUUAAUUUUAAUUUACGUUAGACGUGUAUUUUUAAUUUUGAUCCUAUUCUUGUUUAAGUUUUUCCAGCUUUUGCGUUUUAACAUUUUCUUGGUGCUACAUUUCUUUUUGAUAUUGAAAGACUGAUGUUAUCUGUUUAUUACAAGGAUCAUGUAUUGUUUGGCAAAGGAUUUGAUCCUUGAUUACAGUUGGCUAUGUAAGUCACAUGUUAGACAUAUCGAAUCUGAUUUCAGUGGUAAUCUGUUAUGGUUCUAUGGCUUUAAUCGACAGAACAUUGACAUAUUACAAUGUAUUUACUGCUUUGUUUCUCAUAGUAUUUUUAUAAUUCCUGUAUGGUUUAGUUGUAGAUUCAUCAAAUAUUGUUUUGAUUUUAUUGUCUGUGUUAUAAGUGCAGUUUGAUAUAUUUAUGUCCAUAUUAGUGAUUUCACCAAUACGUGGUUUUACAAAGAUGAUGCAGUUUCAGAUUUAUGUGUUUGUAUAGUAAUUCUCUCAGCAUUGUGAAACUAUAUACAUUCUUAUUCGUUUUACACCAUUCAUAAUUUUUAAACGACACGUCUGAUGAAAUAACCAACUUCAGGCUUUAUUUUAUUAUAUAUUUCGUUUGAAAAUUAUGAAAGUUGUAAUACAAAUUCGAAUACAUUAUUCGAGCUUAUUUUGACAUAACAUACCACUGUCUUCCAUUUAUUGUUUAACUAAAGAUUCUUUAUAUUUAUACUAACGUAUUUACAUUUUUUUUUGUAUAUUUUGAUACGUUUUCGAAAUCUUUGUAUUACGUUUGUGAAAUUAAAUGCAUAUACAAUACAAACAUUAACAUUGUAA